rnacentral:rRNA from 1 species
GAUGAACGCUGGCGGCGUGCCUAAUACAUGCAAGUCGAGCGAACAGACGAUGAUCUUGCUCCUCUCACGUUUGCGGCGGACGUGUGAGUAACACGUGUAUAACCUACCUAUAAUUCUGGUAUAACUUCGCGAAACCGGAUCUUAUACCGGAUAAUAUAUUGAACCGCAUUGUUCAAUAGUGAAUUUCGGUUUUGCUGUCUCUUCUCGAUGGUUCCGCGCCGCUUUAGCUAGUUGGUAAUGUAACGGCUUACCAAGGCAACGAUGCGUAGCCGACCUGAGAGGGGGAUCGGCCACACUGGAACUGAGACACGGACAAGAGGACUACGGGAGGGAGCAGUAGGGAAUAUUCGGCAAUGGGGGAAAGCAUGACGGAGCAAGGGCGAGUGAGAGAUGAAGGUGUUCGGAUCGUAAAACUCUGUUAUUAGGGAAGAACAAAUGUGUAAGUAAAUAUGGACGUAUUGACGGUAACGAAUCAGAAAGCAACGGCUAACUACGUG